GUUUCUUUCUGGACUCUUCAAGCAAAAUAAACAAAAUAUUCACUUCGAUCUUCUGACACGCACUGAAGGGCACAGUCAGAUUGCUUAAGACAUGUUUAUCCCCUACAUGGAGGAGAACUUGUGCAUUCUGUUGCUGAAAGUUGGCUGCUGGACAGCAAAUGCGCUCUUGUCUAGUAAAUGUGUCUGACUUCCAUGCACUACAGACCACUUUUCCUGUAAGUCUACAUGUUACAGCUAACAAUCAGC
rnacentral:lncRNA from 1 species